UCGUAGUAUGCGAUUUCCGGCCUUCUGAUAAGUUAAAAGGGAAUCCAGUGCAAAUCUGGAGCUGACGCGCAGCGGUAAGGAUAGUCGUGGCGAUUGCCCGUGCAGACACUGUCUAUAUAUAGAUGGGAAGUCUUCGCCAGUUAACGACGCCAAGCCCGAAGACCUGCCGGGGUACGUCGCAAUUU
rnacentral:ncRNA from 1 species